GACGAACGCUGGCGGCGUGCUUAACACAUGCAAGUCGAACGGAAAGGCCCUGCUUUUGUGGGGUGCUCGAGUGGCGAACGGGUGAGUAACACGUGAGUAUCCUGCCCUUGACUUUGGGAUAACUUCAGGAAACUGGGGCUAAUACCGGAUAGGAGCUCCUGCUGCAUGGUGGGGGUUGGAAAGUUUCGGCGGUUGGGGAUGGACUCGCGGCUUAUCAGCUUGUUGGUGGGGUAGUGGCUUACCAAGGCUUUGACGGGUAGCCGGCCUGAGAGGGUGACCGGCCACAUUGGGACUGAGAUACGGACCAGACUCCUACGGGAGGCAGCGGUGGGGAAUAUUGCACAAUGGGCGGAAGCCUGAUGCAGCAACGCCGCGUGCGGGAUGACGGCCUUCGGGUUGUAAACCGCUUUCGCCUGUGACGAAGCGUGAGUGACGGUAAUGGGUAAAGAAGCACCGGCUAACUACGUG
rnacentral:rRNA from 1 species